rnacentral:rRNA from 1 species
UGGGGAAUCUUGGACAAUGGGCGAAAGCCUGAUCCAGCCAUGCCGCGUGAGUGAUGAAGGUCUUAGGAUCGUAAAGCUCUUUCGCCAGGGAUGAUAAUGACAGUACCUGGUAAAGAAACCCCGGCUAACUCCGUGCCAGCAGCCGCGGUAAUACGGAGGGGGUUAGCGUUGUUCGGAAUUACUGGGCGUAAAGCGCACGUAGGCGGAUUAGUCAGUCAGAGGUGAAAUCCCAGGGCUCAACCCUGGAACUGCCUUUGAUACUGCUAGUCUUGAGUUCGAGAGAGGUGAGUGGAAUUGCGAGUGUAGAGGUGAAAUUCGUAGAUAUUCGCAGGAACACCAGUGGCGAAGGCGGCUCACUGGCUCGAUACUGACGCUGAGGUGCGAAAGUGUGGGGAGCAAACA